UACGUAGGGUGCGAGCGUUGUCCGGAAUUACUGGGCGUAAAGAGCUCGUAGGUGGUUUGUCGCGUUGUUCGUGAAAUCUCACGGCUUAACUGUGAGCGUGCGGGCGAUACGGGCAGACUGGAGUACUGCAGGGGAGACUGGAAUUCCUGGUGCAGCGGUGGAAUGCGCAGAUAUCAGGAGGAACACCGGUGGCGAAGGCGGGUCUCUGGGCAGUAACUGACGCUGAGGAGCGAAAGCGUGGGGAGCGAACAGG
rnacentral:rRNA from 1 species